AGCGAACGUUUGCGGCGGGCCUAACACAUGCAAGUCGAACGCACUAGCAAUAGUGAGUGGCGCACGGGUGCGUAACACGUGGGUAAUCAACCCUUCAGCUUGGGAUAACGACUUGAAAGGGUCGCUAAUACCGGAUACGGCGCGGGAGGCUUCGGCUUCUCACGAGAAAGCCUCGCAAGGGGCACUGAAGGACGAGCCUGCGGCCCAUCAGCUAGUUGGUGAGGUAAGAGCUCACCAAGGCGAAGACGGGUAGCUGGUCUGAGAGGAUGAUCAGCCACACUGGAACUGAGACACGGUCCAGACUCCUACGGGAGGCAGCAGUGGGGAAUAUUGCGCAAUGGGCGAAAGCCUGACGCAGCCACGCCGCGUGAGCGAUGAAGGCCUGGUCGUAAGAC
rnacentral:rRNA from 1 species